rnacentral:rRNA from 1 species
GACGAACGCUGGCGGCGUGCCUAAUACAUGCAAGUUGAGCGCUGAAGGUUGGUACUUGUACCGACUGGAUGAGCAGCGAACGGGUGAGUAACGCGUGGGGAAUCUGCCUUUGAGCGGGGGACAACCUUUGGAAACGAAUGCUAAUACCGCAUAAAAACUUUAAACACAAGUUUUAAGUUUGAAAGAUGCAAUUGCAUCACUCAAAGAUGAUCCCGCGUUGUAUUAGCUAGUUGGUGAGGUAAAGGCUCACCAAGGCGAUGAUACAUAGCCGACCUGAGAGGGUGAUCGGCCACAUUGGGACUGAGACACGGCCCAAACGCCUACGGGAGGCAGCAGUAGGGAAUCUGCGGCAAUGGACGAAAGUCUGACCGAGCAACGCCGCGUGAGUGAAGAAGGUUUUCGGAUCGUAAAACUCUGUUGGUAGAGAAGAACGUUGGUGAGAGUGGAAAGCUCAUCAAGUGACGGUAACUACCCAGAAAGGGACGGCUAACUACGUG